GGAGCUGCUAAGGUUCAUGUCCUGGCCAACACCUUGCUCCAGCCCACAUGAGACCCUCUGCCAAGCACACAAUGGCAGCUGUGUCAUCUAAGCCCAGCCUGGGGGGCCACUUGGCUCCUUGCUCCUGGUUGCACGCAGGAGCACCCGCUACCACUAGCGGCAGGUUCUGCUGCCCGAGGACACGGGGUGAGGAACUUGUCUGCUUUUCCAGGACUAGGAGGUGCAGGACAGCCGCACUGAGGUACGUGGGGAGCAGUGGAGAUGGGCCCUGGGGAGAGUCCUUGCUGUGGAACUGGGAGCACUGGGGAACCCUCAGGAGUUGCCCAGGUAGGUGAGUGGGAUGAGGCUGACCUAGAGGAACUUACGCCUGUUUUUUUUUGUCUUGGCUACGCUAAGUGCAUCCACCUGGUGUCCCAGGAAACCCCAUUGUUGCCUUCCUGGUUGGGGGCACUGGCAUAAACAGGAGAUUAUACCCCUCCUCCCAGCAGGGCAGAGGAGGAUCUGCCUAUUUCCUUCUUGCCCUGAGGGAUCGCAUGUUCAAGGGCAGACCAGAGUUACUCUGUGUUUGCUGAGGACCUGGUGUUUGCUCCCUCUUUGGCUAGAAGCACCCUCCACCCAUGAGCCUGCACCUCGGAGCGCUCCUGCCCUUAGUUCAACACAUGGGGAAGGUGCUAAUGUAAAAGUGAAGGAGAUCCAUAAGGUUUGCUACAAAGAACACAGCUCCUUCUGCAACUUGCCCAGUGUAGCCCGGCAUUAAAAUGAAUCUGAGCUUUUCAUUCCCUCCUCCCUCAUUUACUGCUGUUGUGACUUGUUACUGGAGCACCAAAUAGCCAUGGUGCAGCAUCCUGCAACCCAUCUACUGGCACAGCUUGAGAAAGCCACCAACAUCUGGCCUGGAGGAACGUGAGUCUGUUUUCCUAGCUCAGCCCCUUUGCUCCUUCCUCAUGUAUCACCCAACAGCAAAAGGUGCCCAGACAGGAAAUUGUGCUGCUGGUAGACACAGGGAAACAUCAGUUUGUGCGGAGAGACUUAGAGAACCCACGGAAGCAAACAUGCAACGGCAUGGCAGGGAUCCACAGUAAGACAGGGCAGAGAAGGGCUGUGCAUUGGCCACUGCCAGCCCGGCAAUCCCACUUCAGCCGGUCUGCAACCACAGUGAUGCUGGCUUUGCCUGACAGGCAGUAGAAUAACUUUCAGAAGACCUGACACCAGAUAAGGAACCCCAUAGGGCAGCUAAUGGAGAUGAGAGAACUGCUGUUGGAAAGUAUGGGACAUCAUCUGUCCAUCCCCAACCCCAAAACCAAUGCAGCCACCACGUCUGCAAAGACUGAGUGAAAUACAUUGGUCUGAAACCCCAAGCUCCACAUGGCUGGUGAAAUACACAACACAAGGUGUUCCUGAACAAAACAUACCUGUAAGAGCAUCGCCUGGAGUUACUCCAGCCAAGAGGAAAGUAUUAGCACUCCCAAUGCAGAGCACUGCCUGGGAUGAGGAAGAAACCAUCUCUGGACAGCAAACUGCCAAAUGGGGGACCUUCUUCAGGGGGGUGAUGGUAGAUUAGAUGGAUCAGGAGCCUGAGAAAACCUGAUCCCUGCAUUAACUCUGUGUUCUCCUAGAAGUUUGGUGCAUUCCCCUGUUUCAGGCAGGUCCUUCCCAGCCCACCACUUGCUGCCUUCAGAUGGGGAUGAAACCUGCGGAGCAGUGUCAUAACUGGGGUGCAGAGUGCCACCAUCUGAGCGCUUGGCCUCAUCUUCCUCACCGGCAGAGCAGAGCCACGCAUGGUGACAUUUUGUUAUUUGACAUUGAAUAAUACAAGCACUUUGGGGGCCAAGGCUGCUCUGCGCCAAGUCCCAACCCACAGCAUAUUUA